CCUGUCACUAGAAGCAUUAUAGGUGUGGCUGCUGUCACAUGUGCUUUAGUAAGUGGCAGAGAGGAGAGAGGUUAUGUCUAUGCUCAGUGUUCUGACCUGUGAACACUUCCUGAGAAA
ensembl:snoRNA Gm23709 predicted gene, 23709